rnacentral:rRNA from 1 species
GACGAACGCUGGCGGCGUGCCUAAUACAUGCAAGUAGAACGCUGAAGGAGGAGCUUGCUUCUCCGGAUGAGUUGCGAACGGGUGAGUAACGCGUAGGUAACCUGCCUGGUAGCGGGGGAUAACUAUUGGAAACGAUAGCUAAUACCGCAUAAGAGUAGAUGUUGCACGACAUUUGCUUAAAAGGUGCAAUUGCAUCACUACCAGAUGGACCUGCGUUGUAUUAGCUAGUUGGUGGGGUAACGGCUCACCAAGGCGACGAUCCAUAGCCGACCUGGGAGGGGGACGAGCCACACUGGAACGGAGCAAGGCCCCAGACUCCUCGGGAAGGCGCCAGAGGGGAUCUUCGGACAAGGAGGGAAGGCUGGACGAAGAAAGCCGGGGGGUGGGAGGAGGUUUUCCGAGCGGAAAGCUACGUUUGGAGGGAAGGAAGAGUAUGGUAGUAGUAAGUUCACACUGUGACGGUAUCUUAACAGAAAGGGACGGCUAACUACGUG